rnacentral:rRNA from 1 species
UGUUUGUUGUAAGGGCGCACGGUGGAUGCCUGGGCAUGUCAAGCCGAUGAAGGACGUGAAGGGCUGCGUUAAGCCUCGGGGAGUUGCCGAUUAAGCGUUGAUCCGAGGAUGUCCGAAUGGGGAAACCCGGCCGUGGUUAUGUGCGGUCACCUGCUGCUGAAUGAAAUAGGUGGUAUGGGGGUUACGCGGGGAAGUGAAACAUCUCAGUACCCGUAGGAGAAGAAAACAAUAUGUGAUUCCGUUAGUAGUGGCGAGCGAAGGCGGAGGUGAUGGCUAAACUCUAUGCGUGGAUGAUACUUGGUAGGGGUUGCGUGUAGGGGGUUGUGGGAUGCGUGUGUCUGGCUGGCUACCACUGGCUGGCACCCUUGGAUUGUGUGUUAGGGGAAGUGGUGUGGAAUCGCCUGCCGUAGACGGUGAGAGUCCGGUACCUGAAGACAUGUGGUUGGGGUGUGUGCGUAUUUUCCCGAGUAGCAGCGGGCUCGUGGAAUCUGCUGUGAAUCUGCCGGGACCACCCGGUAAGCCUGAAUACUUGGCGUGACCGAUAGUGUAGUUAGUACCGUGAGGGAAGGGUGAAAAGUACCCCGGGAGGGGAGUGAAAUAGUUCCUGAAACCGUGUGCUUACAAUCCGUCAUAGCCCCUGUUUGUGGGGUGGUGGCGUGCCUUUUGAAGAAUGAGCCUGCGAGUCAGCGGCAUGUCGCGAGGUUAACCCGUGUGUGUGGGGUAGUCGUAGCGAAAGCGAAUCCUAAUGAGGGUGAAGUGUAGUGGCAUGUUCUGGACCCGAAGCGGGGUGAUCUACCCAUGGCCAGUGUGAAGCGGUGGUAAAACAUUGUGGAGGCGCGAACCCACUUAGGUUGAAAACUGAGGGGAUGAGCUGUGGGUAGGGGUGAAAGGCCAAUCAAACUCCGUGAUAGCUGGUUCUCCCCGAAAUGCAUUUAGGUGCAGCGUUGCGUGGUUGUUGUUGGUGGUAGAGCGACUGGUUGGUUGAUGCGGGACGAUCAUCUUAGCGAUGCCAGCUAAACUCCGAAUGCCAAUAAUAUGCGAGCGUGGCAGUGAGACGGCGGGGGAUAAGCUCCGUGACGUCGAGAGGGAAACAGCCCAGAUCGUCGGUUAAGGCCCCUAAGGGUGUGCUGAGUGGAAAAGGAGGUGUCAUCGCGAAGACAGCCAGGAGGUUGGCUUAGAAGCAGCCAUCCUUGAAAGAGUGCGUAAUAGCUCACUGGUUAAGUGGUGAUGCGCCGAUAAUGUAGUGGGGCUUAUAAAGUACACCGCCGAAACCGCGGCAACACACAUUUUUGGUGUGUGUUGGGUAGGGGAGCGUCGUGCACGCGUGGAAGCUGUCACGGAAGUGGUGGUGGAGUGUGUGCGAGUGAGAAUGCAGGCAUGAGUAGCGAAAAACAUGUGGAAAACGUGUUCGCCGGAUGACUAAGGGUUCCUGGGUGAAGCUAAUCUUCCCAGGGUGAGUCGGGACCUAAGGCGAGGCCGACAGGCGUAGUCGAUGGAUAACGGGUUGAUAGUCCCGUACCCGUGUAUGCGCGACAAGUGGUGACUCGGUUGUACUAACCACCCACCACCGCGGGAUCAAUGCUUUUGGUGUUGGUUUGGUGUGUGGUGCGUGGGAUCUUGAUCGUUGGUAGCCAAGCGAUGGGGUGACACAGAUUGGUAGUCAAGGCCACUUAUUGGAUUGUGGUGUAAGCGUGUGGCCCGUAGGAUAGGUAAAUCCGUUCUGCAUAUAGGGUGAGGCGUGAUGCGUACCCAGAUUGUUGGGGAUGUUUGAUGUGCCUGUGCUGUCGAGAAAAGCCUCUAGCGAUGUGUGUGCACGGCCCGUACCGGAAACCGACACAGGUGGUCUGGUUGAGGAUACUAAGGCGUUCGGGUGAACUAUGGUUAAGGAACUCGGCAAAAUGCCCCCGUAACUUCGGGAGAAGGGGGGCCAUGUGCGGCAAUCACCCCUUGUGCGGUGUGCGUUGUGUGUGGCCGCAGAGAAGUGAGGGAAGCGACUGUUUAUUAAAAACACAGGUCCGUGCGAAGACGUUGCAAGUCGAGGUAUACGGACUGACGCCUGCCCGGUGCUGGAAGGUUAAGAGGACUCGUGAGCACGCCCCUGGUGGUGUGUGAGGCGGGUAAUUGAAGCCCCAGUAAACGGCGGUGGUAACUAUAACCAUCCUAAGGUAGCGAAAUUCCUUGUCGGGUAAGUUCCGACCUGCACGAAUGGCGUAACGACUUCCCUGCUGUCUCAACCAUAGGCCCGGUGAAAUUGCAGUACGAGUAAAGAUGCUCGUUUCGCGCGGCAGGACGAAAAGACCCCGGGACCUUUACUAUAGCUUGGUAUUGGUGU